UAGGGAAUUUUGGGCAAUGGGCGAAAGCCUGACCCAGCAACGCCGCGUGUGGGAUGAAGGCCCUCGGGUCGUAAACCACUGUCAGGAGGAAAGAAAAGUCGGCCGGAUAAUACUCGGUCGACCUGACGGUACCUCCAAAGGAAGCACCGGCUAACUCCGUGCCAGCAGCCGCGGUAAUACGGAGGGUGCAAGCGUUGUUCGGAAUUACUGGGCGUAAAGCGCGUGUAGGUGGUCGAGUAAGUCGAAUGUGAAAGCCCCGGGCUCAACCCGGGAAGUGCAUCCGAAACUGCUCGACUAGAGUCCCGGAGAGGAAGGCAGAAUUCCCAAUGUAGGGGUGAAAUCCGUAGAUAUUGGGAGGAAUACCGGUGGCGAAGGCGGCCUUCUGGACGUGACUGACACUCAGACGCGAAAGCGUGGGGAGCAAACAGGAUUAGAUACCCACGUAGUCCCUGAGCGGGCUGGCAAGGCGCAU
rnacentral:rRNA from 1 species